AAUAUACUCACCACGUGUAAUCUCAUCCUACUAUAAAAUCAUAAGCUUGGAUGUUCCUCUUUAAUAAAAUUACCCAAAAGUGAAUAGUCUACCAACUACAUAGAUAAGAAAAACAAUGUAUACCUUUAUACAAACACUUAGAAGUGGUUCGUUUUUAAGAGGAAUUUGUAUUUAGAUUACUGAUUGUUCCAUAUAAAAAUGUUAGAAGAGAUAUAUAAACUGAAAUACUUAAAACAUAAUAAAUAUGAAAGCCUCAAAAAUUUCAUCAGUGCCUAGAGACUUAAAUACAUUGUUACUAUUCCACUAAAAUCUAAAAGAAUCUUUGAGAAUAGACAUUUAUAAGGUACAUUUGGUGAAACAUUUUACUCUUGGUAAAUUAGAACAAGUCUAAGAAUGACUCAUACUUUCGAUUUUUUUUUUUUUUUUUUUUUUUUUGAGACAGGUUCUGGCUCUGUCACCCAGGCUGGAGUUCAGUGGUGCGAACUUCGCUCACUGCAUCCUCGACCUCCUGGGCUCAAGUGAUGCUCCCACCUCAGCCUACCAAGUAGCUAGGACUACAGCUUGGGAAAGUUCCUAGACAUCAGGAAAUCAGCAUGUUCUCAAGCAAAUACACUUGAUAGACAUUCAUCUCAGCAGGAUAAAUAUCUACAGGAGAAAAUCAUGAAGCUACCAGAAUGUGGCCAAAGGGAAAAAUAUCCUAUGAUCAUUCCAGAUUUUUUGUGUUGGUUCUCCUCUCCUAUUCCCAUCCCAUCCCUGGAGAAAACAAUAAGGCAAAGUUUCCCGUUUUUUUUUUUUUUUUUUUUUGAGACAGGAUCUCCCUCCGCCACCUAGACUGGAGUGUAGUAAGCCUAUCUCCGCUCACUGCAGCCUCAAGCAGUCCUCCAACCUAAGCCUCCCAAGUAGCUGGGACUACAGAGACAUACCACUACGCUAAUUUUUUAGUUUUUGUUUGUUUGUUUGUUUUUGUAGAGACAGGGUCUCACUAUGUUGCCCAGGC
rnacentral:lncRNA from 1 species